rnacentral:rRNA from 1 species
GAUGAACGCUGGCGGCGUGCCUAAUACAUGCAAGUCGAGCGAACGGACGAGAAGCUUGCUUCUCUGAUGUUAGCGGCGGACGGGUGAGUAACACGUGGAUAACCUACCUAUAAGACUGGGAUAACUUCGGGAAACCGGAGCUAAUACGGGAAAUUAUUUUAACCCGAAGGGUCCAAAAGUAAAAAAGGGCUUGCCGUCACCUUUAAAUUGGAUCCGCGCUGCAUUAGCUAGUUGGUAAGGUAACGGCUUACCAAGGCAACGAUGCAUAGCCGACCUGAGAGGGUGAUCGGCCACACUGGAACUGAGACACGGUCCAGACUCCUACGGGAGGCAGCAGUAGGGAAUCUUCCGCAAUGGGCGAAAGCCUGACGGAGCAACGCCGCGUGAGUGAUGAAGGUCUUCGGAUCGUAAAACUCUGUUAUUAGGGAAGAACAUAUGUGUAAGUAACUGUGCACAUCUUGACGGUACCUAAUCAGAAAGCCACGGCUAACUACGCG